GACGAACGCUGGCGGCGUGCUUAACACAUGCAAGUCGAACGGAAAGGCCCUGCUUUUGUGGGGUGCUCGAGUGGCGAACGGGUGAGUAACACGUGAGUAACCUGCCCUUGACUUUCGGAUAACUUCAGGAAACUGCGUCUAAUACCGUAUAGGAGCUCCUGCUGCAUGGUGUGGGUUGGUAAGUUUCGGCGGUUGGGGAUGGACUCGCGGCUUAUCAGCUUGUUGGUUGGGUAGUGGCUUACCAAGGCUUUGACGGAUAGCCGACAUGAGAGGGUUAACGGACACAUUGGGACUGAGAUACGGCACAGAGUAGAACGGGAGGCAGCAGUGGGGAAUAUUGCACAAUGGGAGGAAGGCAGAUGCAGCAACGCCGCGUGCGGGAUGACGGCAUGCGGGUAGUAAACCGCAGUCGCAUGUGACGAAGCGUGAGUGACGGUAAUGGGUAAAGAAGCACCGGCUAACUACGUG
rnacentral:rRNA from 1 species